rnacentral:rRNA from 1 species
GUGUCAGCAGCCGCGGUAAUACGGAGGGUGCAAGCGUUGUUCGGAAUUAUUGGGCGUAAAGCGCGUGUAGGUGGUUGAGUAAGUCAGAUGUGAAAGCCUUCUGCUUAACAGGAGAAGUGCAUUUGAAACUGCUCGGCUGGAGUACGGGAGAGGAGAGUGGAAUUCCCGGUGUAGAGGUGAAAUUCGUAGAUAUCGGGAGGAACACCAGUGGCGAAGGCGGCUCUCUGGUCCGAUACUGACGCUGAGACGCGAAAGCGUGGGGAGCAAACAGGAUUAGAAACCCUCGUAGUCC